rnacentral:lncRNA from 1 species
GCAGUAUCACAGCUACGUCUACAGGGGAGUUGCUUCUGUCAUGGACAUGCCGACCGCUGUGCCCCUAAUCCUGGAGGCCCUACAGGUUCCACCACCGCUGUGCAGGUCAACGAUGUCUGUGUCUGCCAGCACAACACAGCUGGCCCCAACUGUGACCGCUGCGCCCCCUUCUACAACAACCGGCCAUGGAGACCUGCAGAGGGACAGGACAUCCAUGAGUGCCAAAGGUGUGACUGCAAUGGGCACUCAGAGACCUGCCACUUCGACCCAGCUGUGUUUGCUGCUAGCCAAGGGACAAGUGGAGGCGUGUGUGACAACUGCCAGGACCACACAGAGGGCAAGAACUGUGAGCGAUGUCAGCUACACUAUUUCCGGAAUAGACGACCAGGCGCUCCCAUUCAUGAG